rnacentral:rRNA from 1 species
GAUGAACGCUGGCGGCGUGCCUAAUACAUGCAAGUCGAACGAAACUUCUUUAUCACCGAGUGCUUGCACUCACCGAUAAAGAGUUGAGUGGCGAACGGGUGAGUAACACGUGGGCAACCUGCCCAAAAGAGGGGGAUAACACUUGGAAACAGGUGCUAAUACCGCAUAACCAUAGUUACCGCAUGGUGACUAUGUAAAAGGUGGCUAUGCUACCGCUUUUGGAUGGGCCCGCGGCGCAUUAGCUAGUUGGUGAGGUAAAGGCUUACCAAGGCGAUGAUGCGUAGCCAAACUGAGAGGUUGAUCGGCCACAUUGGGACUGAGACACGGCCCAAACUCCUACGGGAGGCAGCAGUAGGGAAUCUUCCACAAUGGGCGAAAGCCUGAUGGAGCAACGCCGCGUGGGUGAAGAAGGUCUUCGGAUCGUAAAACCCUGUUGUUAGAGAAGAAAGUGCGUGAGAGUAACUGUUCACGUUUCGACGGUAUCUAACCAGAAAGCCACGGCUAACUACGUGCCAGCAGCCGCGGUAAUACGUAGGUGGCAAGCGUUAUCCGGAUUUAUUGGGCGUAAAGGGAACGCAGGCGGUCUUUUAAGUCUGAUGUGAAAGCCUUCGGCUUAACCGGAGUAGUGCAUUGGAAACUGGGAGACUUGAGUGCAGAAGAGGAGGGUGGAACUCCAUGUGUAGCGGUGAAAUGCGUAGAUAUAUGGAAGAACACCAGUGGCGAAAGCGGCUCUCUGGUCUGUAACUGACGCUGAGGUUCGAAAGCGUGGGUAGCAAACAGGAUUAGAUACCCUGGUAGUCCACGCCGUAAACGAUGAAUGCUAAGUGUUGGAGGGUUUCCGCCCUUCAGUGCUGCAGCUAACGCAAUAAGCAUUCCGCCUGGGGAGUACGACCGCAAGGUUGAAACUCAAAGGAAUUGACGGGGGCCCGCACAAGCGGUGGAGCAUGUGGUUUAAUUCGAAGCAACGCGAAGAACCUUACCAGGUCUUGACAUCUUCUGACAAUCCUAGAGAUAGGACUUUCCCUUCGGGGACAGAAUGACAGGUGGUGCAUGGUUGUCGUCAGCUCGUGUCGUGAGAUGUUGGGUUAAGUCCCGCAACGAGCGCAACCCUUAUUGUUAGUUGCCAGCAUUAAGUUGGGCACUCUAGCAAGACUGCCGGUGACAAACCGGAGGAAGGUGGGGAUGACGUCAAAUCAUCAUGCCCCUUAUGACCUGGGCUACACACGUGCUACAAUGGACGGUACAACGAGUCGCAAGACCGCGAGGUUUAGCAAAUCUCUUAAAGCCGUUCUCAGUUCGGAUUGUAGGCUGCAACUCGCCUACAUGAAGUCGGAAUCGCUAGUAAUCGCGGAUCAGCAUGCCGCGGUGAAUACGUUCCCGGGCCU